rnacentral:lncRNA from 1 species
GCAGAAUUUCCUCCUUCGGUUGAUAAGAAAUGUGGUCAUGGCUGGAGUCUUGUUGAUAUCCUUUGUCCUCAGAAAAAAGGAAAUAGGGAGGUUUCAGAUGUUAUUGACACUAACAGCGGGGCCUGGAGGUGGCCACACUCUUAUGGAAGGACCACGCAGAGUUGUCCCUGUGGGCAGUGCAGAUGCAGAGCUGAGACUCGCAGAUGUUUUAGUAACUGUUUCUCAAUAAAAAAAAGACCCAUUUUAUUCUGCACAAGGGUCUGGGGGCAAACCCAGGUCUCCCAGGAGGAAACUCCUCUUGCCCAUAAUGGGGGAUUGGUUCAGCUCAGCUGCUCUGACAAAGGGCUGAAUACAGCGUGCAGUGGUACAGGCGGCUCCCUACAGCUCCAUGUGAAAAUGACCCACAGCAGUUAUGAAUAUCAAACCUCCUUUGAUGUGCUCCCAGACAUGAGGAGCAGCCACAGCAGGGAGGAGGUGGACCCUGGAUGCUGGCUCUGUGGGGCGGUGCGCAGAGGGCCUGGACACGUCUGGCAGCAUCCCGAAGCUCCAGGAGAAAUUCAGCCAGGGGAGCAGAGCAAGAGAGCAGCAAGGGCAGGGAUGGGGAAGAUUUCAAGCUGAAGAUCCAGGAAGCCAAGCGAUAGAUCAACUAGAAGAAAUAAAGCAGGGGAAGAUUCAGGGUACAGUGAAAUGCUGUUGCUUCCAUGACCUUGAAAGGUAAGGGAUGAUAUAUCUGAAGGACACUGUGUGCUAAGAUGAAACAGAAAAGGAAGGAAACGUUGCACUAGUUGUAGACUUUGCCAAGAGCACCUGGGCUGCCGAGGCUGCUUCAGCCUCGACUCAUAGAUUCAUGAUCUGGGACACAGGACAGCAUCCUACUGUGCUGGACAUCUUCCAGGGACACUGACCCAAGAGGGGGUUGGGAGGAAGACUUCUUCCUGCUAAGAGAGAGAAACUUCCCUCCAAAGCAGUGUUACUGAACCUCCCACAUGUAGGAUAUAGGGACAGAGAGAGAGACCACUUGAGUCCCGGGAGGAAUGCUGAGAACAGAUUUGCCUUCCUAUGGACCAGACCCCUUUGCAAAUCUAAUAUUUCAAAAGUUCAUUACACAUAAACUUGCAUCUGAUUUCAUUUCAUGAGAUUUGUGCUCGUUCCUGGACUGCGCAUCAAUCUGAAGACCAGGGCGGGCUGAGAGGACUGGGGUUACAGCUCUGAGUGACCACCGUCCCCACCACCACCCCUGCACUUUCUAAACCCCAAGGCAGCCUGGCCGGCGUGUCAGCCAAAAUCCAAAUUGGGAAACUGACGUGGUCUUUGUUCCUGGUUCUCUAUACACGCACAAUCCUAGGUGCCUGGUCAUUAAUCCAUCUUAAUUCUCACUCUAAUUUCUCGACUGUGGCUUCCAAUUCCUGCUUUCCCAACCUCAUCUACAGGCGUCAUUCCUGAGCCCCGUUAUGAAUCCACAGACACCUCAGAACCUCCCUCUAGGAAAUCUGUUGUCCCCACAUGCUUAUGUCUGACCACUGGAGGGCAAUGCUGGACCAGCCAAAUCUCUAGGUGCUCUGCUCCAUCUUUGUCCCCACCUCACCCGUCAUUGUAGGCUGCAGCCUCUGGUUGGAAGCCGAAACUAAGGACCACUGUAGCACCAUGAAAGCAGUAGCACAGCCAGGCCUAUUACAGCAGCUCCCCCAAACCUGGGAUCAUCGGAAUAAAAGGCAGUUCACUGGAAUGCAGACUUGCCUCCAAUCCCCUGGGGAAAAGAUUGAGAAGACAACUUGCCUCUUCGUGUCAUUAAUCAGGAACAGUCUGUCUCUCUGAAUGGGGACACAGAGUCCUACCUGUCUCUACCCGCUCAGAUGUAAGCUCCCUGAGGAUAAUGUCUUAGUAAGCUCUAUAUACCUGGCAGUAAACACGGUGCUUGGCAAUAAAUGUUUGUUGAAUGAAUGGGUGGAUGGAAGCAUGCAUACAUAUACAUGCAUAAAUUGGAAUUGGCCAUUUUCAGAUUUGUUGCUGUUUUCCAGUUCUUAUAACACCUAAAAUUUAAGCCAUCAGUUAGUUGCUUAGCAUUCUUAGUCUUGAAGACAGCUAAGGAUAAUUAGGUUAUUAAUUAAAGCAGUAGUUGUCCUUGUACAAAUGUUAUUUCAAACACCACUUUAAGAGUUUCAGAUCUCUUACUUUUAGAAUCCUUCGUUAUGUCACCUAUGUGUCCUCAGACCUCAUCAGCCUGUGAAUUACAAAAUACUGACAUUGUUUCAUGAAUAUUCAAUUUAUAAUAACCUGCAGCCUCUAUCAUGGGAAUAUGGAGUAUCCAUUCUGUCCCCCAGAACAGAUCUGUGGUCACUUCAUCCCACAGUGGGUCCCCAUGGGGCUCCACAACUCCACUGAACCAGAGCUCUUCUUCAAGCCACCUUGUGUCAACCCAUGAGACUUUUCUCCAGGCUGCUCUCCCUUCCACCUGCUGCCAACAGAUCCCGUGUGGCUAUGGGCACAGCUUGCUCCCUUAGUCAUUCAAAGCACAGCUAAAUGCUUGAGGAGAGAAAGAAGUACACAUUUUGAGACCCAAAACCCAACCUCUUCCUGUAUCCCUGCAGACUUCCAAGUAGCAGUGAUCAGUCAGUGCCCCCAAUAAAAAUCUGCAGGCAUCCCCACAUCUCCAUGUGCAGAGCCCAAGGCCAGCUCUUUUCCUGCCCUAGGAGGACUGACAGUGGAAAAAAUUGCUCCCUCGUGGAAAGCUCUCCACCCGCCCUCCACCACCUCAGGUGGAGGCUAGCCUUCAUGGCCCAAGAAGGCAAAAACAGUGUUAUUAGGUCUUAAAAUACCAUGUAUGAGAUACCAAUAGCUUUGACUAAAUUCAUAUUUGAGGGAAAAUAUGCCCUUCAUUUCUAACUUGCAAGACACAAAUUGAUCUUUAACAGAAUACUUACCAUCUUAGUGUACAAC